CUUGGUCAUUUAGAGGAAGUAAAAGUCGUAACAAGGUUUCCGUAGGUGAACCUGCGGAAGGAUCAUUAUCGUACAACCGAGGUGCAAGGGCUGUCGCUGACCUUUGAAGGUCGUGCACGCCCGAGCGCUCUCGCCACAAUCCAUCUCACCCCUUUGUGCAUCACCGCGUGGGUCCCCCUUUGCGGGGAGGGCUCGCGUUUUCACACAAAACUUGAUACAGUCUAGAAUGUUUAUUUUUGCGGUAACACGCAAUCAAUACAACUUUCAACAACGGAUCUCUUGGCUCUCGCAUCGAUGAAGAACGCAGCGAAAUGCGAUACGUAAUGUGAAUUGCAGAAUUCAGUGAAUCAUCGAAUCUUUGAACGCACCUUGCGCCCCUUGGCAUUCCGAGGGGCACACCCGUUUGAGUGUCGUGAAAUUCUCAAAAUCCUUUUCUUUGAUCGGAAUAGGACUUUUGGACUUGGAGGUUCAAUGCUCGCUUUCGCCUUUGAAAGCGAGCUCCUCUCAAAUGAAUCAGUGGGGUCCGCUUUGCUGGUCCUUGACGUGAUAAGAUGCUUCUACGUUUUGGAUUUGGCAUUGUUUUCUCCGCUCCUAACUGUCCCAUGGGACAACGAUGGUGCUUCGGUCGUCGCCAUCUAUGGCGGGAGGCUGAGCCCACAAAGAACCUUGACCUCAAAUCGGGUGAGACUACCCGCUGAACUUAAGCAUAUCAAUAAGCGGAGGA
rnacentral:rRNA from 1 species